GUUCUUCUUGUGUAUAUUCAUACAAUAAUUCUGCGACAAUUAUUUCCAGUGAAGGGGUCAGUAAUGUUGAGUUUCAUAAUAAGGAGUUGUCUGUGUAAUUGACUGCUAACUAAAUGAUAACUAAUUUUUUAGUUAACUUGUGAAAAAAUGAUUAAUAAAGAAAUUUGUGAGAGCUUGGCAAACAGAUAAAGACAUUAUUUCGGAUCAAACCUUUAAACGAACAAUGUUAGCAGCAAUUGCACGUCUAGAAAAAAAACUUCAAUGACUUUAAAGCCUCAUUUGAGCAGAAUGAUUUAAAAACUUUAGUCGAACCUUUACAUUUAUCAAAACUACGAUUUGAUGAAAUCUUGGAUCUGGAAGUUAAUCUUUAAGCUGAUAGUAAAAGAAAGGAUUCUGCAGUAGAAUCAUUAUGUAAUGUGGGUGGAAAAUCUACAAUAGAUAUAACAUACAAUGAAAUGAAAAAAGUGAUGAGUGACGAGGCUUCCAGCCACUUCAAUAUAAAAGGCAGUUCUUAGAAAAUCUCAUUUUGUGGAAAGUGCCCAAUAUUGUUUUCUGCUAUAAAUGAUGCCAUCAAAUUACAAGAUGAAUCAGCUAAAGAUAGCGACAUAACAACCGCAAUAGGAAAGUGGCUACGUAUGCAUGGCACACUGUUUAAACGUCAAACGACAGAAUAACAA
rnacentral:lncRNA from 1 species